GUGACUGCAUAUAAUAAAUUAUUAAAAUAGAAUUUGUAUAUUCUGUGACAUACUACUCAUUUCACAAUUUGAAAUGUAACGUGCAAAACAAAAAUUCUGGCAUUAAAAGGUGGGGUUUUGUUUAAAGGAUGCUGUGCAAUUGAACGAUAUUGUAGUCUUGCUGUGUUCAUAAGAGCAGAAUGUUAUUAAGGUGACUGAGAAAUCUAAAAGCUUCGGUAAGGCUGGGGGAGGGAUUAAUAUAGUUUUACAGGUUUUUGGGUUUAGAAUUGUGGGUGCUUGGGAUUAGAGGGACAUCUGCCUUCAAAGUGCUUCCAAUUCUAAAUGCUAUGAAAUUUUGGACUUCAAUUUGGCAAUGUAAACACUACCGGUCCCUAAGUCCAUGGCCAUAAUUCCCCCUAAAGCUCCAGUGUGAGAUACAUUGUUGCACCCCAUCAUUAAAGUACCGUGUACAACAGAGCAUUUAGCUCUGUUAUAUAUAUAUACAGCAUUGUAAGUGGUAUUAUAAUAACAACCUGCAAUUUUCAUCUCAGGAAUAUCAUAGCAGCACCAUAAUGUG